rnacentral:rRNA from 1 species
UUUGCGGCGAUUGGAGGAAGAACUCUGACCGAGCAACGCCGCGUGAACGACGAAGUACUUUGGUAUGUAAAGUUCUUUUAUCAAGGAAGAAAAGCAAGUGGUGAACCAUUUGUUUGCCGGUACUUGAUGAAUAAGCCCCGGCUAAUUAUGUGCCAGCAGCCGCGGUAAGACAUAAGGGGCAAGUGUUAUCCGGAAUUAUUGGGCGUAAAGGGUGCGUAGGCGGUCUAGUAAGUCAGUGGUGUAAUGGCAACGCUCAACGUUGUCCGGCUAUUGAAACUGCUAAACUUGAGUUAGAUAGAGGCGAGUGGAAUUCCAUGUGUAGCGGUAAAAUGCGUAAAUAUAUGGAGGAACACCAGAGGCGUAGGCGGCUCGCUGGGUCUUAACUGACGCUGAGGCACGAAAGCGUGGGGAGCAAACAGGAUUAGAUACCCUGGUAGUCCACGCCGUAAACGAUGAGUACUAAGUGUCGGGUUAAACCGGUACUGAAGUUAACACAUUAAGUACUCCGCCUGAGUAGUACGUACGCAAGUAUGAAACUUAAAGGAAUUGACGGGACUCCGCACAAGCGGUGGAUCAUGUUGUUUAAUUCGAAGAUACCCGAAAAACCUUACCAGGUCUUGACAUGUUUUUGCGAAACGGUAGUAAUAUCGUGGAGGUUAUCAGAAACACAGGUGGUGCAUGGUUGUCGUCAGCUCGUGUCGUGAGAUGUUAGGUUAAGUCCUAAAACGAGCGAAACCCUUAUCGUUAGUUGCCAGCACGUUAUGGUGGGGACUUUAACGAGACUGCCAGUGAUAAAUUGGAGGAAGGUGAGGAUCACGUCAAAUCAGCAUGCCCCUUAUGACCUGCUACAAACGUAACG